AGCAGCUGCAGUAAUUUCAGCUCCAAUAGUGUAUAUUAAAGUUGUUGUAGUUAAAAAGCUCGUAGUUGAAUUUUGGGAUCAGUUGGUCGGUCGUGUCUUGGUACGUAUUGGUCAAAUUGAUUCCUACCUUCUGACGAAUCACAAUGUCAUUAAUUUGGUGUUGCGGGAAAUUAGGACUGUUACUUUGAAAAAAUUAGAGUGUUUAAAGCAGGCUCGUGCUUGAAUACAUUAGCAUAGAAUAAUGAAAUAAGACGUUUGAUUCUAUUUUGUUAGUUUCUAGGAUCGAUAUAAUGAUUAAUAGGAAUAGUUGGGGGUAUUAGUAUUUAAUUGUCAGAAGUGAAAUUCUUGGAUUUAUUGAAGACUAACUACUGCGAAAGCAUUUGCCAAGAAUGUUUUCAUUAAUCAAGAACGAAAGUUAGGAGAUCAAAGACGAUCAGAUACCGUCAUAGUCUUAACAUAAACUAUGCUGACUAGGGAUCGGAUGAUGUUAAUUUUUUAAUGACUCAUUCGGCACCUUACG
rnacentral:rRNA from 1 species